rnacentral:rRNA from 1 species
CACGUAGGGCGCAAGCGUUGUCCGGAAUUAUUGGGCGUAAAGAGCUCGUAGGCGGUCUGUUGCGUCCGCUGUGAAAACUCGGGGCUUAACCCCGAGCCUGCAGUGGAUACGGGCAGACUAGAGGUAGGUAGGGGAGAAUGGAAUUCCCGGUGUAGUGGUGAAAUGCGUAGAUAUCGGGAGGAACACCAGUGGCGAAGGCGGUUCUCUGGGCCUUACCUGACGCUGAGGAGCGAAAGCGUGGGGAGCGAACAGG